UUCCUUUCUGCCCUCCACUCUUCUCUGGAGCUCUGGGUUCAGCCGCCGAGCCCCAUGUACCUCUAUUAUGAGGGCAUACCAGACUCUGCACAAGCUCUGAGGAACUGCAACCACUUCUACUAGGUGCCCUGCCACUCCCAAGUUUACAAGUAAAGGAAACAAUCAAGAAUCUUAUGUGUCAGAGGAGGUGAGGAGGGCGAUAUAUUCAAUCAAUUGUACUAGCUAUCAACAUCGAUGAACAAAUCAAAGGCACACCUGAAGCACUCGCAGCUACAGAACAUCAUACUCUAAAUUUUGUCCC